ACAUUGGUGAUUCAGUGAUACUAUUCUCACCUUCCAUGUAGUAGUCCUGGGUUCAAUUCCCAGCCAAUGUA
rnacentral:tRNA from 1 species